rnacentral:rRNA from 1 species
UAAGGGCGCACGGUGGAUGCCUUGGCACUAGAAGCCGAUGAAGGACGUUACUAACGACGAUAUGCUUUGGGGAGCUGUAAGUAAGCUUUGAUCCAGAGAUUUCCGAAUGGGGAAACCCAGCAUGAGUUAUGUCAUGUUAUCGAUAUGUGAAUACAUAGCAUAUCAGAAGGCACACCCGGAGAACUGAAACAUCUUAGUACCCGGAGGAAGAGAAAGAAAAUUCGAUUCCCUUAGUAGCGGCGAGCGAAACGGGAAGAGCCCAAACCAACAAGCUUGCUUGUUGGGGUUGUAGGACACUCUAUACGGAGUUACAAAGGACGACAUUAGACGAAUCAUCUGGAAAGAUGAAUCAAAGAAGGUAAUAAUCCUGUAGUCGAAAAUGUUGUCUCUCUUGAGUGGAUCCUGAGUACGACGGAGCACGUGAAAUUCCGUCGGAAUCUGGGAGGACCAUCUCCUAAGGCUAAAUACUCUCUAGUGACCGAUAGUGAACCAGUACCGUGAGGGAAAGGUGAAAAGCACCCCGGAAGGGGAGUGAAAUAGAACCUGAAACCGUGUGCUUACAAGUAGUCAGAGCCCGUUAAUGGGUGAUGGCGUGCCUUUUGUAGAAUGAACCGGCGAGUUACGAUUUGAUGCAAGGUUAAGCAGUAAAUGUGGAGCCGUAGCGAAAGCGAGUCUGAAUAGGGCGUUUAGUAUUUGGUCGUAGACCCGAAACCAGGUGAUCUACCCUUGGUCAGGUUGAAGUUCAGGUAACACUGAAUGGAGGACCGAACCGACUUACGUUGAAAAGUGAGCGGAUGAACUGAGGGUAGCGGAGAAAUUCCAAUCGAACCUGGAGAUAGCUGGUUCUC